rnacentral:rRNA from 1 species
UGGGGAAUAUUGCACAAUGGGCGCAAGCCUGAUGCAGCCAUGCCGCGUGUAUGAAGAAGGCCUUCGGGUUGUAAAGUACUUUCAGUCGGGAGGAAGGUGGUAAGGUUAAUAACCUUGGCAAUUGACGUUACCGACAGAAGAAGCACCGGCUAACUCCGUGCCAGCAGCCGCGGUAAUACGGAGGGUGCAAGCGUUAAUCGGAAUUACUGGGCGUAAAGCGCACGCAGGCGGUUGAUUGAGUCAGAUGUGAAAUCCCCGGGCUUAACCCGGGAAUUGCAUCUGAUACUGGUCAGCUAGAGUCUUGUAGAGGGGGGUAGAAUUCCAUGUGUAGCGGUGAAAUGCGUAGAGAUGUGGAGGAAUACCGGUGGCGAAGGCGGCCCCCUGGACAAAGACUGACACUCAGGUGCGAAAGCGUGGGGAGCAAACAGG